GAUGUGAUGGCCGAGCGGGUUAAGGCGCCAGUCUGUAAUGUUGGAGCUGGGUUUGAAUCCCGUCGGUUGCAACU
rnacentral:tRNA from 1 species